UUAAACUAGACCACACAUGUAAAUUGUUCAAUAUGCAAAAGGGUUUGAAUAAUCAAAAUUAAGUUGAAGAAUAUUAUAUACUUACAGCCCUCAGAAGCAGAUGAUGAUGAGGAAGAAUGGAAUAAUAAUUUUUUGGGCGCCAAACCCAUAACCACCUAGCUUCCAAAUCUCUUGUUUUCUUCUUCUUUUCUUCAAGGGGGAAUCAAUGGUUUACCAGUGAAGGGAUCUAAACUUUUUACAGAGUCAUCAGAGAUAGAAUUCUUCCGUGUAUUUGUUCCUUGAAACUUACGCUUACCAUUAGGCGGAUAGUAAACCUCAGUGGCUGUCAAGUCAAAUACAUGCACAUUAAAAUUUGAAUUUCCAGCGUAUUUGAAGAGUAAAAAGUAGCCAUAACGGACAGAAUCAAUAGAAUCAGUAAUUCUAACAACAUUGGAGAGUUGAUGACCUUAUCUUUUAACAAAUUUGUUGAGGAUCUUCCGAACAAAAAUACAUUAUAAUUUCUUAUAUAUACAAGCAAAAAAAUGCAGAAAUUUCAUCCGACUAAACCCUAAACUUUAUAUCAUUUCUACAAGCUGAUAUUUCAGUUAGCAAACUACCCCAAUAGGCAAAUACAAGAAUCUCAUUAAUAAUUAAGAAGAUAUGAAAAUUACCAGUUUGUGAAGGGAAGUGAUUGAGGGCAAAAUAACUUUGAAGAAUCUUCUUCUAAAUCCAUUUUUGUUGCUUUGUGUUUCAUAUUCCUGUU
rnacentral:lncRNA from 1 species